CGAUACUUGGUGUGAAUUGCAGAAUUCAGUGAAUCAUCGAAUCUUUGAACGCACAUUGCGCCCGCCAGUAUUCUGGCGGGCAUGCCUGUUCGAGCGUCAUUUCAACCAUCAAGCCCCCGGCUUGUGUUGGGGACCUGCGGCUGCCCGCAGGCCCUGAAAACCAGUGGCGGGCUCGCUGUCACACCGAGCGUAGUAGCAUAAUUCUCGCGUCAGGGCGUGCUGCGGGUUCGCGGCCGUUAAACGACCUUCAUAACCCAAGGUUGACCUCGGAUCAGGUAGGAAGACCCGCUGAACUUAAGCAUAUCAAUAAGCGGAG
rnacentral:rRNA from 1 species